rnacentral:rRNA from 1 species
UGGGGAAUAUUGGACAAUGGGCGGAAGCCUGAUCCAGCCAUGCCGCGUGUGUGAAGAAGGCCUUUUGGUUGUAAAGCACUUUAAGCGAGGAGGAGGCUACUUGGAUUAAUACUCUAGGAUAGUGGACGUUACUCGCAGAAUAAGCACCGGCUAACUCUGUGCCAGCAGCCGCGGUAAUACAGAGGGUGCGAGCGUUAAUCGGAUUUACUGGGCGUAAAGCGUGCGUAGGCGGCUUCUUAAGUCGGAUGUGAAAUCCCUGAGCUUAACUUAGGAAUUGCAUUCGAUACUGGGAAGCUAGAGUAUGGGAGAGGAUGGUAGAAUUCCAGGUGUAGCGGUGAAAUGCGUAGAGAUCUGGAGGAAUACCAAUGGCGAAGGCAGCCAUCUGGCCUAAUACUGACGCUGAGGUACGAAAGCAUGGGGAGCAAACAGG